rnacentral:rRNA from 1 species
GACAGAGGGUGCGAGCGUUGUUCGGAAUUACUGGGCGUAAAGCGCGCGCAGGCGGCCCUUUAAGUCCGUCGGUCAAAUGCCGGGGCUCAACCCCGAUGCAUGCCGAGGAUACUGGAGGGCUGGAGACACGUAGAGGCAAGCGGAAUUCCGGGUGUAGCGGUGGAAUGCGUAGAGAUCCGGAAGAACACCGGAGGCGAAGGCGGCUUGCUGGGCGUGAUCUGACGCUGAGGCGCGAAAGCGUGGGGAGCGAACAGG